AGCAGCCGCGGUAAUUCCAGCUCCAAUAGCGUAUAUUAAAGUUGCUGCAGUUAAAAGCUCGUAGUUGAAUUUCGGGACUAAUAUGUCGGUCGUGCCUCGGUACGUACUGGUUUAUUGGUUUCUCCUUUCUGAAGAACCAUGAUGUCAUUUAUUUGGUGUCGUGGGGAAUCAGGACUGUUACUUUGAAAAAUUAGAGUGUUUAAAGCAGGCUCACGCUUGAAUACAUUAGCAUGGAAUAAUGAAAUAGGACGUUUGAUUCUAUUUUGUUGGUUUCUAGGAUCGACGUAAUGAUUAAUAGGGAUAGUUGGGGGCAUUAGUAUUCAAUUGUCAGAGGUGAAACUCUUGGAUUUAUUGAAGACUAACUACUGCGAAAACAUUUGCCAAGGAUGUUUUCAUUAAUCAAGAACGAAAGUUAGGGAUCGAAGACGAUCAGAUACCGUCGUAGUCUUAACCAUAAACUAUGCCGACUAGGGAUCGGAUGAUGUUAAUUUUUUAAUGACUCAUUCGGCGCCUUAACC
rnacentral:misc_RNA from 1 species